rnacentral:rRNA from 1 species
AGAGUUUGAUCCUGGCUCAGAACGAACGCUGGCGGCGUGGAUAAGACAUGCAAGUCGAGCGCUGAUUACAGGGUAGCAAUAUUCUGUAGUUGGAGCGGCGCAAGGGUGCGUAACACGUGGGUAAUCUGCCAUGAAGUUUGGGAUAACUUGCUGAAAGGCGAGCUAAUACCGGAUGUGACAAUUGGGAGGCAUCUUUUGAUUGUCAAAGUUGGGGACCGUAAGGCCUGACGCUUCAUGAUGAGCCCGCGGCCUAUCAGCUAGUUGGUGAGGUAACGGCUCACCAAGGCUAAGACGGGUAGCUGGUCUGAGAGGACGACCAGCCACACUGGAACUGAGACACGGUCCAGACACCUACGGGUGGCAGCAGUCGAGAAUUUUUCACAAUGGGCGCAAGCCUGAUGGAGCGACGCCGCGUGGGGGAUGAAUGGCUUCGGCCCGUAAACCCCUGUCAUUUGCGAUCAAACCUUGUUAUUUAAAAGAUGACGAGCUGAUAGUAGCGAAAGAGGAAGGGACGGCUAACUCUGUGCCAGCAGCCGCGGUAAUACAGAGGUCCCAAGCGUUGUUCGGAUUCACUGGGCGUAAAGGGUGCGUAGGUGGUGGGGUAAGUCGGAUGUGAAAUCUCCGAGCUCAACUCGGAAAUGGCAUUGGAAACUACCCUGCUAGAGGGUCGGAGGGGGGACUGGAAUACUUGGUGUAGCAGUGAAAUGCGUAGAUAUCAAGUGGAACACCAGUGGCGAAGGCGAGUCCCUGGACGACUCCUGACACUGAGGCACGAAAGCUAGGGGAGCAAACAGGAUUAGAUACCCUAGUAGUCC